UACGUAGGGUGCAAGCGUUAAUCGGAAUUACUGGGCGUAAAGCGUGCGCAGGCGGUUUUGUAAGUCUGUCGUGAAAUCCCCGGGCUCAACCUGGGAAUUGCGAUGGAGACUGCAUGGCUAGGAUGCGGAAGAGGGAAGCGGAAUUUCCGGUGUAGCGGUGAAAUGCGUAGAUAUCGGAAGGAACACCAGUGGCGAAAGCGGCUUCCUGGUCCAGCAUCGACGGUUCAGGCACGAAAGCGUGGGGAGCAAACAGG
rnacentral:rRNA from 1 species